UACGUAGGGGGCAAGCGUUGUCCGGAAUCAUUGGGCGUAAAGCGCGUGUAGGCGGUUCGAUAAGUCUGCUGUGAAAGUUCAGGGCUCAACCCUGGAAUGCCGGUGGAAACUGUCGAGCUAGAGUCCGGAAGAGGCGAGUGGAAUUCCUGGUGUAGCGGUGAAAUGCGCAGAUAUCAGGAGGAACACCAAUGGCGAAGGCAGCUCGCUGGGACGGUACUGACGCUGAGACGCGAAAGCGUGGGGAGCAAACAGG
rnacentral:rRNA from 1 species